rnacentral:lncRNA from 1 species
GGGGGGACACGCCACAGUUCCCCUAGGGGGACACCUGAAGGGACUGGGUCUAGGGGAGCAGGGACUUUGCUCGGGCCUAAGCUGCACGCGGCGUAUGUGCUUCUGUAGUAGUGAAAACGAUGCUGCUUACGAAAGCAAACCCCUGUCGUCACUGCAGAGGUGCUGAACAGAAAUUGCGCAGGACACUUGCAGUGACCUCUUUCGGGAGCCUUGUGCUGUGCCCCUUCCUAUGAGCUCCUUUCAAGGACCAUCUUGUCUUUUCCUCUUGUUUUAAUGAAUGCACUCCUGGGCUUGAAAUUGUAUGCGCCUUUUUGGAUGACCUUUACUCUUGCUCACUAAAUGGGCUCCGACUUUCACUUUUCUUUGUCUUACUUUACCUUUUUCUUUACCUGGCUGGUGACUCCUGCGGGAGGACAGCAGCGUCCUCCUCUUCCCCUGGGGCGGCUGUGUCUGGCGCAGGGUGCUGGGCUGUGCCUGCACUUGUGUCCCUGCGGAAGCCUCAGAUGCCGCCGAGCUCCGCCGCUUGGUUCCCGGGAUCUGACAGUCAACAGGAACGACGGAGAGGGCGUGUUCCCGGGGGCGGGGGCAAGAACAAACCGGUUCACGGCCAUUUCUUUCCAAUAUUCCUUUGGGACUUUUGCUGUGACCUCACUGGCACCAGUGUCGGACAAUCUCGAAAGGGGGGACCGUUCCUCACCCCAGGGCGCCCGGGGCGUGAUCCCCACGCGGCGUCAUUAGUCCAGGGAGCGGGCGCCUCGGCCCCGGGAAGGUGCACUUCCAGCCCGCUGCCCUGCCACGCCGAGUUUCCUCCUUUUUCCUGCCUUUGUUGCACAAAAAGCGACGGAGCCGCUAGUAGGUGGGAGCUCACCUUUGAUGUUUAUUUUAUUACUUUCCACCAUUUGUGUUGAAAACGUACACAAUCCUCUCUUAUCUUUAUUCAGGGAGUUUUGAAGCCAUUCACAAUGGGGCGGGCAACAUGACAGCCCCAGCCACAGCUCUGUUAUUUUUGUAUUUGGGGAAGGAUCGCGUUCGGAGAUUAGACUGACUUUAUUAAGUAUGCGCCUCGGGAGCCAGGUGGGGAAUGGCUGCUUUUUGGGAGAUGAGCCUUUCUGGAGGGGUCUGCUCAGCUCUAGCCUUGGAGUUGAUGGUUCACUAGACCUGGAGAGGGAAGUGGGAUGAGACAAAUAUGUAUAUCUAUAUAUAUAUAGCGAGGUAAAGAGGCUUGGAUUUGGCCAGGGAUAAAAGGCGUUCGUAAUGAAUGUUUUUCUCUCUUGAACUCUGGGGUUGGGCAGGGCAGGAGGGCACAUGACUAUUUGAUGGGGAAGGUAAAGCCAAGGAGGCUUGAGGUGGGACCCGUGGUCGCUACAGAGUCCAAGGGAGGCCUCUUCGAGACUCCAGGGCCAAGGUGUCCUGCCACCAAGGAAUGCUGGUCGCCGCCAGGGAAGGUGGCUCACCCCACCUCCAUGUCCCACUUUCCCCCUUUCUUACCCAACCUCCUCCCCUCCCCAGCUGCAGGGGAUCCUCUCCUUACCCUGAUUUCAUUUGGGGCAAGGGGGGCAAGGACCUGCCCCACCUUUUAUGUCUAUCCUGUGGGCUGCUGUCUGCAAGUUUGGAGCCUGAAAAGGUUGGGGGGCAAGAGAGUGAGUUGGAGGUGGGUGAAUUCUCAGCUGGAAACCCUUUGCUAUUUUUAGAGUGACUUAGGGAAUGGGCAGGUGAGAGGUUGCUUGCAGCCACCUAAGUGGACUUUGAGAAGGAAGAUGGCAUGGCAGGCCGUGGACCACCUGGAUAGGAUUAAAACAAAACAAAAACAAGCAAACAAACAAAAAAAAACCCUACCUCAGCUAGAAUGGAAGCUCCACUAGAGCAGGGUUUUUUUCUUUUUUUCUUCAUGACUGUAUUCCCCUAUCCUUGACACAUGAAUGUGCCAUUUGCUGAGGAUAACAUGAUUGUCUUCUGUUAAAACCAGAAAUAACACUGCUUUUUCCAUUUGUGGUUGAUGUCGGUAUCAAUUUUAGCUGUUGUUUUACAGCGGGGAAAUCAUUCACCUUUUGCAGCUAUCAGAGAAACCGAGAAUGUAUGGAGCAGGGCGUGUCUAUCCACAACACCCUCAAGGCUGAAUACAGUUGGGGAGACCAGACGCUGCCAGACGUCACAUGCAUUUUUUUAAAGUUUCCCAGAAGUGCUUGGAUAUUUCUGCCCCUUAAUUCCCAUUCCUUGGGGAGUACAUUGAUGGGUUAAUAAAAAAUGCCUGCAGGUGGAGCUUGACCAAACACUUGUAGGUAAGAAACACCUAUUAGCUUAUUUUCCCCCUUGCCCUUUAAUUUCCAUGGAGAUAAGUGAAUAAACUAUGGCAAAAGAUAAGUUCAUAUUUCCAUGAUCGUAUGACCUCCCUGAAGUGGUGAUUUUAGGAAGAUAGUGCAUGUAUCUCUGGGCACAAAGUAACUUAAUUAACUGUGGAAACUAUCUGCAAAUUUAACGCUUUCCAUAAUUUGAUAGUGCUUCACUGACCCAGUUCCUAAACACUAAUCUUGGGAAGAAAAUAAUUUAAUUCCUAAAAUACCUAAGGUGACUCCCUGUGGAAAUAUUGAUGACUUGCCCUAUGCAUUAGAAGAUCACGCAGGCUCCCAGCCCAAAGGGACUACAGAACAAUCUUGAUCACAUCCACCCAGCAACCUGGAAACAGCUUUGAAUUUCUUGUCGUGUUAACCUCUGGAUCUGAAGAGAGGGUAAACUUAAAAUUACCUUCCCAUGGGGACCUGGGACUCUGGAUGAAUCUACAGUACAAUGCUGUGAAGAACUGAAGAGCCUCAGGCUUAGAGACCAGGCUAAUGUUGAGAGUCCCAGGGCAAAAUGCAUGGCUCUGAAUCCUUGCAGAGUCUCCCUAGGGGCAUGGAGAGGGCCCUGACUUGGGGCUCGAGGUCAGGUGGCAGUGAAGGGCCUCUACAGCGAUAAAGCCCAGCUGCCUCUUUACCUUUCCUCAUAGUGAAAAUACAUGGGAAGAAAAGGAGUGCUUUGUCCAACUCUGUUCUAGCCCAUUUCAUGGUCUGGUUGAUUCUUUUGGUAGAUGCUGAACACUGGAAAAAUCC